GACGGGAUGGUUGUGAGCGGGACAGAAACUCCACCACAAGGGUUCUGGGGGUACUACAGGGACUAAAGGAAGCAGUGUGAUCAGUGUGAAAGCAGCAAGGCCAUGAUUUAUUUCUUGGGCGUGUAGUUUUCUCCCGAGGCCUCUGCUUGGUUAUUUUACCCAGCAUCGGUGCCAAAGGAGAUUUCCCCAAAGGGAAAAGUACUGCAGUGCUCGACGCAUUACAGUCCUUUCCCGUUUGCAAGCUCUCCCACACAUUCCUUCUUCUGUUCCCAAAUCACAGGAGACGACGAGAAAGAGAACAGACCACCUGUCCAGAUAAUUUGCCUUUGGAGUCUGCAGGGCUGGUGAAGGCAUCCUGAGAUGGGGGAGGCCCCUGGGGACCUCCACAGUCAGGGCUCCCACCUCCUCUCCCACACCGCUCUGCCUCAUGCCCUGGGUUGCCUGUCUGACUGUCUCAAGACUGGGGGUUCUCCGGUGAGCAGAUGGCUGCUUAGCGUCUAUGCCGUGUGCCUGGCUUUUUCCAACCACUCCGAAUUGAUCAUUUCCUAAUGACCACAUGGCUCAGAAACUCACAGCACAUCCUUCUAGGGGCCUCUUUCUCCCAAGUCCUCCCAGGGACUUGGCAGCUUCAUCUCUAAGGCCUGCAGAGGCUGUGGCUAUGGCUGUCCAUUGUUCUCGCUCCUUGGCUUCAGUUCAGAGCCAUCAAAUCCCUGCAGCUCGCACACUGGAACAUUCAUAUUUUGGAUAAGGCCUUUGCUGUCAGUGGAAUACAGCAACACACAAGACAGACACAGUUGCCUUCCCGCUGAGGCUGGACGUCUACAAAGAAACUCUGGACAGCUAUUUGCCAAGGCGAUGGGCACUACAGAUGAGACGCACAAAUGAUAUGACUCAUGGGUGACGCUGGGCAAACCUCGGUGGUUGAGUCCUGUUGGGUUUUCUCAUAGGAGGUGCUUCCAGGAACAUUCUUGUGCAAGACCGUGUGAGAGUAUCUCCAAGAUAGACAAGUGGAAGUGAAAUUCUGGGCCAUAGUGGAUGAACACUUGCCAAGAGGUGUUGACAAAUUAGUCUUAAAUGAACCUGUACUGCAUUUUAAGGCCUGGGAGCUCUUAGUGGCCCCAUCCUUUCCAAAGCUUGUGUGGUUGGCCGAGUAAUGUCUUCCAAGAUGUCCAAUUCCCAAUCCCUGGAACUUCUGAAUGCUAGCCUGUAUGACAAAAGAGACUCUGAAGCUGGGAUUAAGUUAAGAAUCUUGAGUGGGGAGAUUAUCCUGGAUAAUCCAAAUGGGUCCUUAUAAGAAAGAGGCAUGAGAUCAGAGAACCAGAAGGUGAUGUGAGGAUGGAAUCUAAGAGAGAGUUGAGGAUGCUGUGGCUGCUGGCUUUGAAGGUGCAGGAAGGGCCAUGAGCCAAGGAAUGUGAGAAAUGGAGCUGGAGUUGCCAGAAAAGGCAAGAACAGGGAAUCUUCCUGAGAGGCUGCAGAAGGAGCCAGCUGUGCAACACCUUGACUUUAGCCCAGCGAGACUGUUUUCCAACUUCUGAGCUCCAAAACUAAAUUGGAGGCAGAAGGUUACCAACAUUGCCUGGUGUCCAGCCAGGAGGUAGAGCGUGGUGGCAUCCAGAACCUUCCUCCAACUCCUGCCUGGCGUGGUUUUUAUUCAUCUUUGUAUUCCCAAGAAACUUCUCAGUGUCUCAGGAGUGUUAGGCACUCAAGCUUUCCAAGGUGAAAGUGUUGGACACUCUUUCUUCAUCUCAGAUUUAAUCAACUAAGAAUGCUGCAAAUUGAACACCAGUCCACAAAACUCAGGAAUACAUGAAAAGCAUUGUGCCUUAUUUUUAACUAACUCAAAUUCUAUGUCAGUCUCCCUUUUAUGCUGGAUGUUGGCGCUAAAUCUCAGUGGGUUCCUCAUUCUGCCAGACCUGUGUCCAGUUUGGGGGCUUCACAUAGAGCCACCCCAUCACAGGAGAGGGAAGGGUCUUGCUCUUGGUUGCCAUCACUCCACCCUCUUGUCUUCCGAGCUUUGAUGUUCACUUUCCUUUUCACCACUCGGAAGCUUCCUGCCAUGAUACAUUGAGACCUCAAUGUUAAUGCCAAUUGGGGUUUGGGGUUCUCAUAAACUCAGAAGUCCAGGAAAAUCGCCUGCUGCCUCCCACAACACUCUGAGGGCAUUCUGGAAUCCUACCACUUACCUGGAGCCUGCUGGCCUCAACUGUUUUGAAGUCUGUGUCUGGGCCAUGCAGGUAAAUGGGAGGAUGUUCUGUGGCCAUAAAAAUACCCGAAGUCCCACCUAAAGUUGAUGCAGGGUCUUCUGCAUUUCAUUGCAAAAUUGUUCUAUCAUUUCUAUAGUUUUCAGCCUACAGUCAGGGGCCAGGACUUUGCACCCUUGGUAAACCUCAAUCUCUUCUCCUUCCUGGCUUCUACUCCUUUCUCCCUCAAUCCCAAAUCAAGGCCCUUGAUUGUCUGGAGGUAGGAAAGCCUGGUUCUGGCUCAUGAUAUAGUCUACAUCAUAGCCUUUGUCAUCUCAUGGAUUCACUCAACAACCGUGUGUGGAUGGGGCCACCCAAUAUGUGCCAGGAGUUGAGGACACGCAGGGUUAUGAUGAUGAAAUAGAUAAGGGGCCCACACUCACGGACCCUGCAGGACAGUGGAGCUGUGGACCCAGCAUGCGAGUAAAGACCCAGUGAGCUCACCAGACAGAUCAUUUAAAUCAGGUGAUAGGACAGUGAAGGGCGGGGGCUGCAUUAGUUUUGGUGGCAAGAGAAGGAUUAUCUUCUGAGAGGAUCCACAAAGUAAAGAGGGCCGGUAUGACUGGGUAGAGUGAGGACCGUGGUUGAGGCAGAAGAUGGAGCUCUUUAUUGAGCUCUAGGGAGCCCGUCGGAUGGGACCUACGGGGCUUGAGGGAGCCCAUCGGAUGGGACCUACGGGGCUUGAGGGAGCCCAUCGGAUGGGACCUACGGGGCUUGAGGGAGCCCAUCGGAUGGGACCUACGGGGCUUGAGGGAGCCCAUAGGAUGGGACCUACGGGGCUUGGCGGACUUAAUUUUAAAUGUGGAAGAAGCCAUUGCAGAGCCUGAACCUGAGGUGUGGCAUGGUUCGAGUUACUUCAAACCAAAUUUAUUGAAAUCUCUUUGCAUAAAAUGCAAUGCGUAGAUCUUAAGAGUAUAGUUCAAUGAGAUUUGAUAAAUGUAUGCACCAGUGUAACAACUCCUCCAGUCAAGAUAAAGAAACGUCCCUCACUAUUUCCUCAUGCCCCUUCAUAGUCAAUAUCUGAUCCACUCAGCCUAGGCAACCAUUGAUCUGCUUUUAUCACCAUAGAUAUUUGGGUAUGAGUCUUUGUAUGAUCAGCUAUUUUUAUGUUGCUUGGGUAAAUAUUUAGGAAUAGAACUGCUGAGGCCAAGGAUAGAAUAUUUAACUUGAUUGCCGACUGUUUUUCCCAAGUGGUUGUACCACGUUCUGCCUCCACCAGCAUGUGUGAGUUUCCAGGGCUUCUUGUCCUUGCCAGAUACCAGGUGGUUGCAUGCCGUGUCCCAGUGGCUGUUGGGAAUCACAGUAGCUGGGCCCAAGAUGACUCUGGAGGACUUUACAUUUGCGCCCAUCUGUGGGUCCUCCUAUGCCAGUGUUUCCCAAAGCAUGGGCCAUGCGCAUUAUUCUUUCCAAAAUGAUGUCAUAUGGUGCAUAGGAAUGUCAUGGAAUACAAUGGAAUCACUCUGGAAGGAACUUUUCCCUUCUCAGGUGUUGUUUGAAUAUUCCUGAUGUGAUCGAGGAGAUUAACUGCUACUUAACAUCUCUGCACCGCUUGCUAAACUCCUUGUUAAAAUUAUGCUUUUUAUUUUGAAGGAGUUCUAGAUUCACAUGCGUUGUAAGAAAUAACAGAGAGAUUGCAUGUACUCUUCACCCAGUUUCUCCCAAUGGUAACAUCUUGCGAAACUAUGGUGCAAAAUCAAAACCAAAUCUCUUUUUAUAACAAAGAGAGGGUUCCCACCUCAAGCUCAGAUCCUUCCCUGUGUAGCUAGAACUUAGUAACAGUGUUUUAUUUUAUUAUAUUCAGUUUCAAGGGUUACAUUCUAUUUAUAACAAAUGA
rnacentral:lncRNA from 1 species